AAUCAACGCUGGCGGCGUGCCUAACACAUGCAAGUCGAACGCGAAAAGGGGCAACCCUGAGUAGAGUGGCGUCCGGGUGAGUAACACGUGGAUAAUCUACCUGCGGGUGGGGAAUAACUUUCCGAAGGGAAGCUAAUACCGCAUAACACUAAGUGGUGGCAUCACCAAAUAAGUCAAAGUGGGGGAGUCGCAAGACCUCACGCCUGUAGAGGAGUCCGCGGCCGAUUAGCUAGUUGGUGAGGUAACAGCUCACCAAGGCGACUAUCGGUAGCCGGCCUGAGAGGGCGAACGGCCACACUGGCACUGAAAAACGGGCCAGACUCCUACGGGAGGCAGCAGUGGGGAA
rnacentral:rRNA from 1 species